rnacentral:rRNA from 1 species
AGUGAACGCUGGCGGUAGGCCUAACACAUGCAAGUCGAACGGCAGCACAGUAAGAGCUUGCUCUUACGGGUGGCGAGUGGCGGACGGGUGAGGAAUACAUCGGAAUCUACUUUUUCGUGGGGGAUAACGUAGGGAAACUUACGCUAAUACCGCAUACGACCUACGGGUGAAAGCAGGGGAUCUUCGGACCUUUCGCGAUUGAAUGAGCCGAUGUCGGAUUAGCUAGUUGGCGGGGUAAAGGCCCACCAAGGCGACGAUCCGUAGCUGGUCUGAGAGGAUGAUCGGCCACACUGGAACUGAGACACGGUCCAGACUCCUACGGGAGGCAGCAGUGGGGAAUAUUGGACAAAGGGGGCAAGCCUGAUCCAGCCAUACCGCGUGGGUGAAGAAGGCCUUCGGGUUGUAAAGCCCUUUUGUUGGGAAAGAAAAGCAGCAGGUUAAUACCCCGCUGUUCUGACGGUACCCAAAGAAUAAGCACCGGCUAACUUCGUG